GACGAACGCUGGCGGCGUGCUUAACACAUGCGAGUCGAACGGAAAGGCCCUGCUUUUGUGGGGUGCUCGAGUGGCGAACGGGUGAGUAACACGUGAGUAACCUGCCCUUGACUUUGGGAUAACUUCAGGAAACUGGGGCUAAUACCGGAUAGGAGCUCCUGCUGCAUGGUGGGGGUUGGAAAGUUUCGGCGGUUGGGGAUGGACUCGCGGCUUAUCAGCUUGUUGGUGGGGUAGUGGCUUACCAAGGCUUUGACGGGUCGCCGGCCUGUGAGGGUGACCGGCCACAUGGGGACUGAGAUACGGCCCAGACUCCUACGGGAGGCAGCAGUGGGGAAUAUUGCACAAUGGGCGGAAGCCUGAUGCAGCAGCGCCGCGUGCGGGAUGACGGCCUUCGGGUUGUAAACCGCUUUCGCCUGUGACGAAGCGUGAGUGACGGUAAUGGGUAAAGAAGCACCGGCUAACUACGUG
rnacentral:rRNA from 1 species